UCUGUGGCGUGUGAGUGUGAGAGAAAAGUGAGUUGUAUUUCAUAGUUGAAACCAAGACUGUUCUCUUGGCAGGUCUGCCAGUUUUGACGAGCAGAAGUUACUUUUCUUAGAAGGCUACGAUAAUUAACGCAGCAGGUUAGGAUAAUUAGGUAAAGGUAAAAAGCUAACAAUGUCCCCGACGCGACUCGAAUCUAUGUACAACCAUGAGAACAGACUUGAUUUCCACUAAUGCGAUGCUCCGGUACAAACGGUCUGUGAGGGAAGACUCAUGAGGAAAUGUGCUUUCUGUUCUACUCGAGCUAUUUUAUUUUGUAUUUUCGUGGAAAAGUCGCCUAAAUAUUUUUGAGCUGCUGCUAGAUUGUGUGGUUAGCUUGCUGGCAGCCAUUAUCCAGGGAGAUGGUCGUAACAUUUUCCCGCUGUAGGCAUGGAGGGUCUUCAAGAUGCAAUUAAACACCAAUUGCCCGAGUUGGAGACCGAGAUGGUGAGAUCUUUGUCGGAGCAUCUGAGGGCAAAUGUUGGAGUGGAGAAUAUUAACAACCUUGAAUAUGUUCACCCGGAGGACAUAAAAUACCGUUUGAUGCCAAUAUAGUGCCUGGAAUUGCUUCAGUCCUUCAACCAAAGAGAAAAUGAAGAAUGGAUAGUACACUUGUCCUCCUCCAAGCAUCAGUGACCUCCAGGAACAGUCGCCUUUCCUUUUCACCAAGUUAUGACUAUGCGACCACUUCAAUACCCUCACUGGCAUCGUGAUAGACAGUCACCUGACUUAAGCUCUCCUGAACAAGGGUAAGAGAAUUGUCAACUUUUUUAAAGGUCAAAAGAGCAAGUUGAGGAGAGGGAUCCAGUGCCUGCUGAAUGAAAUCGACGGUUACGUCAAAGGCAGUGACAAUCUAACAGCCACUGCUGCCAUUCGUUUGUUGAUGAACGAGUCUCUGUUCCUCUUGGCAGAUGUCACUUCAACUCGGGUUGAUGUCCAUUGCCAGACACACCAAGGCUGAUCAUGCUUGGAAAUACUCUAUUGGGUUCCUCAAAAUGGAUGGUGUCGAUCGAGGGGAGAGUGGUCUGUCUGUUUUAUGGACCGUGAGUCCAACUUUGCUGCUGCCCUCUGUGCUCCUCAGCACUUUCUAUGUAUUUAACAUAGAAUACCAGGAGUCGGCCUCUGCAACCUUGGAGCUGAUAGAGGAACCAAAUGCACAGCGAAAGCAGGAGUGAGCCGCAAAACCGGAAAGGUUAUUCAGAGGAAGCCAUUGCCAAUUGACCCACAUGUUAGGCGCUUUCUCGCAGACCUAAAGGAGUUUGAGUGGAAAAACUCCAACAUGGUAAGUACACACACGCACACCUGAUGAACACAAAUUUUAUUUGUCAGUUGUCAUCUGCCUUUUUACCCAGUGAGUAAUAGUAGUGAUAGCAAUCUCUCUUUCUAUUCUUUCAAUUUCCAUGUUUGUCCUAGUUGAUGUUUGUCCUAGUUGAUUUAUCAGAGCUAAGGAGGAUCGGAGUUUCAAAGGAUGGGGUGACAAUCUGCCCGCCACCGAGAUUUAUUCAAGACUUGUUAGCAUCUCUCAUUCUCUCAGAAAUCCUGCCAUGUGGUUUGGGUCAGCAAAUGAUCUGCUUGCGCCAUCCCAGAGCCUGUGUUGGCUUGCGGUAGUGUGCUUCUCUGGCUCCAGUCUAGCCAUGCUCGCUCCUCUCUAUCAUCCUUCUCUCUCAGCCCCUUUCUCUCUCUCAUUUUUCUCUCUCAAAGACAGGCAGGCAAGCAGUUAUUGUUAUAGUUUUUUGUGAAAAUGUCUCCCUUUUUAAACUGUUUUACUAUUUUUCAUUGAUCUGUUUAGAAUAUAUAUAUAUUUUUUUUUUACUUAAUCCUGUAUUUUCAAGAGUGACCUAUUCUGAUGUCUUGGUUUGUGUAUGGUGAAGUACAUUAUUGGCCAGUAUUUGUCAAUGUUCUUAUCACUGUAUCGCUGUCUCUUUCUCUCCCCUACUAUCUGGAGUUGUAAAUGUUGCUCUUUUCAAAUGUUGUUCUUUGUGGUUAAAGUGCAAUUCAUGUUAUGAAUUUGAAUAAAUAUAUUUAUUUGUA